rfam:Rhodoferax antarcticus ANT.BR grfa_new.contig.19_1, whole genome shotgun sequence.
AUAAGGGUGACCGAAUGUGGAAAGGAAGCGCGGAGCAUAAAUUGCGAGCCGAUGAACAAGAACCGGAUAGAAGGCGCUGCCAAGCAGGUGCGUGCUGCAGCGGGCGCAGGACAGAAGCCGACGAGCCAUGAAUCAUCCGAGUGGAUCGCACGCAAAGUAGGUUUGUAC